rnacentral:rRNA from 1 species
GAUGAACGCUAGCGGCAGGCUUAAUACAUGCAAGUCGAGGGGUAGCAAGAUUGUAGCAAUACAAUUGUUGACGACCGGCAAACGGGUGCGGAACACGUACACAACCUUCCUACAAGUGGGGAAUAGCCCAGAGAAAUUUGGAUUAAUACCCCGUAACAUAGCGAUGUGGCAUCACAUUGCUAUUAUAGCUUCGGCGCUUGUUGAUGGGUGUGCGGCUGAUUAGAUAGUGGGAGGGGUAACGGCCCACCAAGUCUACGAUCAGUAGCCGAUGUGAGAGCAUGAUCAGCCACACGGGCACUGAGACACGGGCCCGACUCCUACGGGAGGCAGCAGUAAGGAAUAUUGGACAAUGGACGCAAGUCUGAUCCAGCCAUGCCGCGUGAAGGAUUAAGGUCCUCUGGAUUGUAAACUUCUUUUAUAAGGGACGAAAAAAGGUCUUUCUAGAUCGUCUGACGGUACCUUAUGAAUAAGCACCGGCUAACUCCGUGCCAGCCGCCGCAGUAAGAC